rfam:Burkholderia ubonensis strain MSMB782WGS MSMB782WGS_72, whole genome shotgun sequence.
CGCCUGAUGCCUGAAAGGGCGACGGUGACGAACCGGAGCGAGGUCUCAGCAGAGGUCAUAGUAGCCACAGGACAGGCCGGUGAGGCUGAAGCUGGUGGCGAAGGAC